GACGAACGCUGGCGGCGUGCCUAACACAUGCAAGUCGAACGGAUUUAAACCUUCGGGUUUAAGUUAGUGGCGGACGGGUGAGUAACGCGUGAGUAACCUGCCCAUGAGAGGGGAAUAACACACCGAAAGGUGUGCUAAUACCGCAUAACGUAUUUUUAUCGCAUGGUAGAAAUACCAAAGAUUUAUCGCUCAUGGAUGGACUCGCGUCUGAUUAGAUAGUUGGUGGGGUAACGGCCUACCAAGUCGACGAUCAGUAGCCGAACUGAGAGGUUGAUCGGCCACAUUGGGACUGAGAUACGGCCCAGACUCCUACGGGAGGCAGCAGUGGGGAAUAUUGGGCAAUGGGGGAAACCCUGACCCAGCAACGCCGCGUGAAGGAAGAAGGCCUUCGGGUUGUAAACUUCUUUUACCAGGGACGAACACAAUGACGGUACCUGGAGAAAAAGCAACGGCUAACUACGUG
rnacentral:rRNA from 1 species